AGUGAACGCUGGCGGUAGGCCUAACACAUGCAAGUCGAACGGCAGCACAGGAGAGCUUGCUCUCUGGGUGGCGAGUGGCGGACGGGUGAGGAAUACAUCGGAAUCUACUCUGUCGUGGGGGAUAACGUAGGGAAACUUACGCUAAUACCGCAUACGACCUACGGGUGAAAGCAGGGGACCUUCGGGCCUUGCGCGAUUGAAUGAGCCGAUGUCGGAUUAGCUAGUUGGCGGGGUAAAGGCCCACCAAGGCGACGAUUCGUAGCUGGUCUGAGAGGAUGAUCAGCCACACUGGAACUGAGACACGGUCCAGACUCCUACGGGAGGCAGCAGUGGGGAAUAUUGGACAAUGGGCGCAAGCCUGAUCCAGCCAUACCGCGUGGGUGAAGAAGGCCUUCGGGUUGUAAAGCCCUUUUGUUGGGAAAGAAAUCCAGCUGGUUAAUACCCUGGGGUCAUGACGGUACCGUAAGAAUAAGCACCGGCUAACUACGUGCCAGCAGCCGCCGCCG
rnacentral:rRNA from 1 species